AUAAUGGAGAGUUUGAUCCUGGCUCAGGACGAACGCUGGCGGCGUGGAUUAGGCAUGCAAGUCGAACGCGAAAGGAGUACUUCGGUAUUCCGAGUAGAGUGGCGAACGGGUGAGUAACGCGUAGGUGAUCUAUCUUUAAGUGGGGGAUAGCCCCGGGAAACCGGGAUUAAUACCGCAUGUGUCUGAUAGCAUAAGUUAUUAGGUAAAAGUGGCCUCUG
rnacentral:rRNA from 1 species